GGGUGUAUAGCUCAGUUCGGUAGAGCAGCAGGCUUUUAACUUGUGGGUCCUGGGUUCGAGUCCCAGUACACCUA
rnacentral:tRNA from 1 species